rnacentral:lncRNA from 1 species
UAAUCCUUUAUCCAAGAGUAAAAUCUAAUUAAAUAAUAAUAAAAUAAUAAUAAGAAGAAAAAAAUGAAAAAGGUGUGACCUCUCUACGCCUUGAUCUUCUUCGUAAGCCUCCAACUCCAUGAUCCAUUUCCUUUUCACCUUAUCUCUUUAACCAUGACCAUUAUAGUGAAUGUCGUACAAAACUGAGAUCUCAUUUGUGAUCGUUAUGAUCUCUUCUUUUAUUCCCAACUUGAAGCGCAAAUUGAAACACCCUAUUCCUCUUUGUAAAAAAUCACACAUCCAUCUUUUGAUCAAGAUUUUGGCCAUCACGACUAUUAUCAAUGAAAACCGAGACCAUAUUUGGACUCCACGAAACACCAUCUUCCUUUACCUAUGUUUGAAAUCACCAACCGUUACACUUAAAAAAAUUUCCAACCUCGUCAUUGUUGUUUUAUCGAAUUAUGGCGAGCACGUUCAUCUUCCUAAAAACUGACAACGUUUUUGGACUCCUCUCGUCAAAACCUUCAAGAAGCAAUACUCAUUUGCGUGUUUCAGUGAAGUCUGCGUUGGACCUUGUCGGCACUCCAAGCGUCGGUUAAACCUUUUCUAAUAACUUGUUUUAUGUCGUUUUGAAUAUGUUUCUUCACCUAAUAUUUUUAUUAAUUAUGUAACAUUGAUUUUUAUGCUAUGUGUAAAUUAUUAGUCAUAUUUCAUUAACUCUACCAAUUCAUCGAUGCUUUUAGACUUGUUCGUAACAUGUUGUCGACAUGUCAUGGUUGCUGAAAAUUAUUCUAAUUCUUAUAUCUUAUGAAAGCGUCAGAUUAAGGUAAGGGGUGAUAUAGUGUUUGAAUUCACAAGUAUAAUAUAUUUUGAGAUGAAUAGAAAAACCAUAUUUUCCAACGAUUCAUUUGGGACUUGCAACGUACGGUAGUAGCUCUUUGAGAGAUAAAUCAAUUAAUGUGAAAAUAUGAGGAUUGUGAGAUUAAAAUGUUAAAUAUAAAUGUUUAUAAGGUGUUGAUUGAUUUAAUUUUCGAUAAUUGUGUGGUAUUUUAUAUUAUUGUGAUGUUGGAUGUCGAAUGAAAUUCUAUGCAUGUGUUUGAUUAGACGCAAUUAUGUGAUACGAUUAUAAAAGAUAAAUGUAUUGUAUGAUAUAUGCUUAUGUAAUGAUAAUGAUGAUGUUUGAUUAAUGAUAGUGAUGUUAUAAACUUGUGAUGAGUUUAUAUGAUGAUUAUGAUUAUGUAUGAUUAAUGAUGUUAUAAAUUUGUGAGAAGAAUUUUGAAGUAACCCCAUAGUUGAUGAAAUAGUGAUGAUGCUCUUAAUGGAGUAGCCUAGGCCAACGAGGUGAGAGAAUAUAUGAUAAUUUUUAAAGCGGAGAUUAUUUUUUCAUCAUAUAGGUAGGGUCUGACAAGCCUAGUGAUUUUGAGGAAAUACAACUGAAUGAGCUUUAUCGUGGCGGGCUACUGUUGAGCCUUAAGUAAGGAAAGAUUGUUAGACCUUGAAGGUAGUCGGGUAGGGAAUUCCUAGGUGAUUUGGAGGUAGCAUUCCAAAUGUCGGAGCUACCAUGCAACACACGUUUACCUCGACUGUCGCGUAUAUGCGUCUCGGGUUGAGUUGAGAGGAUUAUGAGGACAUAGUCAAUUUGAAUUAUCCGUCCACUCGCGUGGUCGCAUAGUAUCAAACCUCAUAACCAAGUACUUUAGAGUUAGAAUGGUACCAAAUUGUGAAGUAGAGUAUAAGCUCAUGCGUAACAUUGUAUUUUCUUGUGAUUGUUUUGCUGUGAUUAAUAUGUAUCGUGUGCGAUAAUAACUUCUCUUAGAUGAUUUGAUGUUAUAGUGAAAUAUAUUGAUUUUUCUUUAGUAAUUUUGACUUUAUAAUAUGACAUUUUUCUUUUGAAGAAUGUUUGUAUAACGAUAUGGUUUAUUCAUGAUUAAUUGAGUGUUCUUCUUACUUACAUUAUAUUAUCAACAUGAUUUCAAAACUCACCCCCUCGUUGUCUGUGUUUGACUAGUUUAUCCCUGUAUUUGUGAAAUUGCAGUUAUUAUAGAUUAAUGAGUCUUGAAAUUCAUGUUUGGGAGAAGUCCUACUUUAAUAGGUGAUAUCAGAAUGAGAGUUAUAAAUUAUAUUUUAAUUAUUUAAUUAGAAACCACUUUUGUAUGAAAAUCUUAUAAAUACUAGUAAGUUUUUGGAUUUAAAUUAAGAAAUUAUAGUUAAAUCGAGUUUAUGGAGAUUGCAUUGUUUUAUAGAAGGAUUUUUUUUAAAAUAUCCUAUUUAUAUUUUGAGAAAUGUGAUAUCCUAAAUGACUCAUAAAAGUUUUUUUUUAAAGAGUUUUUAUUUAUCAACUGCAAAUUUUAUAGAAUUAUAAUAUAAAUUACUAUAUAUAUUAUUUUGGGGUUUAGGGUGUCACACGAUAGAUUACCUAUGCACUCAUUCUAAGUCAUUUGUUGAAAAUCACACUGCGAUCACGACCCCUAGGCACUCACCUUUGUUUGAUUACAAGAACACACAUCCAAUAUUAUAAGGUGAUCUGAAUAUCACAGACCCCCUCUUUGAUGUUCACAAUAGGAAUAUUCUAGAAACUCUAUAAGGAUUUUCUAUAUAAAUAAGACCUAUUAGAUUGUAAAGGUACACAAAUUCUAACCUAAAAAACCUCUGAUUCUUUGAUAAAUUCUUACUUGAUUGUUGGAGUGUGUGCAAGUACACCCCUUCCACAGACUGCUGGCAGAAGGAAUCAAUAGCCUCUACCAUCCAUCGCUCACUGCCGUAUCCAGAGUCAAGUUCUUGUAUUUAGUAUCUGUGGUACUGAAUAGUGACACUGUUUGUGCAGAUUUCCAUUAGCAUAUACUUAUCGGAUAUUCUCAAACAUGACCCAUGGCUCUCAAAAAUGAUAGUCGAUCCCACUCCUUCUGUUGAUCCAUCAUCGAUGCUUGAAUUUCCCAUUCAACCACAACAAGAAGUGGAGGGAGACACUAUGAAACUCCUCCACACAUUGGUCGUAUGGCUGAUUUUCUAGGAAAUCGUCUAAUUUACGAUGAACGUAAUUAUGAUAAAGCCGAGCAACAUAAUAUAUUUCAACAAUUGUUCUAAGAUUCAUGUUCCUACACUACAAUAAUAAAUUUGCAACAUUGAACAAGGAGACGAAUUAGCGCAUCUUUUGAAGUUAGCUAAGCUAAUUAUAUGGGACAAAGCUCCAAUGGCUCACAAAAUCAUUGAAAG